AUACGUAGGGGGCGAGCGUUGUCCGGAAUGAUUGGGCGUAAAGGGCGCGUAGGCGGCGCGGUAAGUCUGGAGUGAAAGUCCUCCUUUCAAGGUGGGAAUUGCUUUGGAUACUGCCGCGCUUGAGUGCAGGAGAGGUUAUCGGAAUUCCCGGUGUAGCGGUGAAAUGCGUAGAGAUCGGGAGGAACACCAGUGGCGAAGGCGGGUAACUGGACUGCAACUGACGCUGAGGCGCGAAAGUGUGGGGAGCAAACAGGAUUAGAUACCCUGGUAGUCCACACUGUAAACGAUGAAUGCUAGGUGUAAGAGGUAUCGACCCCUUUUGUGCCGGAGUCAACACAAUAAGCAUUCCGCCUGGGGAGUACGGCCGCAAGGUUGAAACUCAAAGGAAUUGACGGGU
rnacentral:rRNA from 1 species